rnacentral:rRNA from 1 species
UACCAGCUCUCCGAGUGGUAGGGAUGAUUAUUGGGCUUAAAGCGUCCGUAGCUGGCUUAGCAAGUCUCCUGUUAAAUUCAGCGACCUAAUCGUUGAGCCGCGGGAGAUACUACUAGGCUAGGAGGCGGGAGAGGUCGACGGUACUUUCGGGGUAGGGGUGAAAUCCUAUAAUCCCGGGAGGACCACCAGUGGCGAAGGCUGUUGACUAGAACGUGCUCGACGGUGAGGGACGAAAGCUGGGGUAGCGAACCGGAUUAGAUACCCGGGUAGUCCCAGCUGUAAACUAUGCGGGCUAGGUGUUGGGGUGGCUACGGGCCACUUCAGUGCCGCAGGAAAGCCAUUAAGCCCGCCGCCUGGGGAGUACGGCCGCAAGGCUGAAACUUAAAGGAAUUGGCGGGGGAGCACCACAAGGCGCGAAGCUUGCGGUUC